AAUCAGCGUGAGGAGACUUAUAGGCCAUACAUGCUCCUCUGGAAUACUGGGGAAAAAAGGGAUACAAAUGAGCUUUUAACAAGCUCUGCUUCUAAUGCCAAUAGAUGUAAGGCAGCUAUCCUAUAAGUCAAUGGUCAGCUCUUAUCCUGGG